GUCCUUUGGUGAUGAGGGCCAAUUCACAAUAACUUACAGCUGCGACUCUUCUGACACCCACUCCACAAACUUCAGGACUUUCUCAAGGCUGCGUGACUGUAGAACCCAGUUGCUGUGAUGUGGGGAAGCCUGGACCAGCCCAUCUGGAGAGACUGCGUGGACAGGCACCGUGGAAAGGAAAUGAGACCCUAGAUGACAGCCAGUGUCAAUCACCAGAUUUGAAGAAGAUGGCAUCGUCUUUAGAUAAGUGCAUGGUUAUGGAUAUUGGUGAUUGGAGGGAAGAAGGAAGCAGUGAUGAUCACCCAUGAUGUUAAGAUGAAUUCUUCCUAUCUUUUAAAGAAUUGGUGCUACUUCAAAAACCACUUUCAAAGACUGGAUUAUAUACCUUCACAUUAGGGCUUCCCUGGUGGCGCAGUGGUUGAGAAU